rnacentral:rRNA from 1 species
CGUAGGACCCAAGCGUUAUCCGGAAUUACUGGGCGUAAAGAGUUGCGUAGGUGGCAAAGUAAGCAAGGUGUGAAAGCACCCCGCUCAACGGGGUAAACGAUACUUUGUAACUGCUUGGCUAGAGGACAAGAGAGGUUACUGGAAUUCCUAGUGUAGGAGUGAAAUCCGUAGAUAUUAGGAGGAACACCGAUGGCGUAGGCAGGUGACUGGCUUGUUCCUGACACUAAGGCACGAAAGCGUGGGGAGCGAACGGGAUUAGAUACCCCGGUAGUCCACGCCGUAAACUAUGGAUGCUAGCUGUUAUCAGUAUCGACCCUGGUAGUAGCGAAGCUAACGCGUUAAGCAUCCCGCCUGUGGAGUACGGCCGCAAGGCUA